GACGAACGCUGGCGGCGUGCCUAAUACAUGCAAGUCGAGCGCAGGAAAUCGACGGAACCCUUCGGGGGGAAGUCGACGGAAUGAGCGGCGGACGGGUGAGUAACACGUAAAGAACCUGCCCUCAGGUCUGGGAUAACCACGAGAAAUCGGGGCUAAUACCGGAUGGGUCAUCGGACCGCAUGGUCCGAGGAUGAAAGGCGCUCCGGCGUCGCCUGGGGAUGGCUUUGCGGUGCAUUAGCUAGUUGGUGGGGUAAUGGCCCACCAAGGCGACGAUGCAUAGCCGGCCUGAGAGGGUGAUCGGCCACACUGGGGCUGAGACACGGCCCAGACUCCUACGGGAGGCAGCAGUAGGGAAUCUUCCACAAUGGACGAAAGUCUGAUGGAGCAACGCCGCGUGAACGAUGAAGGCCUUCGGGUCGUAAAGUUCUGUUGUAAGGGAAGAACAAGUGCCGCAGGCAAUGGCGGCACCUUGACGGUACCUUGCGAGAAAGCCACGGCUAACUACGUGCCAGCCGCCGCGGUAACAC
rnacentral:rRNA from 1 species